AUUGAACGCUGGCGGCAUGCCUUACACAUGCAAGUCGAACGGCAGCGGACCUUCGGGUGCCGGCGAGUGGCGAACGGGUGAGUAAAGUAUCGGAACGUACCUUUCAGUGGGGGAUAACGUAGCGAAAGUUACGCUAAUACCGCAUAUUCUGUGAGCAGGAAAGCAGGGGAUCGCAAGACCUUGCGCUGAUUGAGCGGCCGAUAUCAGAUUAGCUAGUUGGUGAGGUAAAGGCUCACCAAGGCGACGAUCUGUAGCGGGUCUGAGAGGAUGAUCCGCCACACUGGAACUGAGACACUGUCCAGACUCCUACGUGAGGCAGCAUGGGGGAAUGUUGGACAAUGGGGGCAACCCUGAUCCAGCCAUGCCGCGUGAGUGAAGAAGGCCUUCGGGUUGUAAAGCUCUUUCGGCCGGGAAGAAAUCGCUUAGGUUAAUACCCUGAGUGGAUGACGGUACCGGAAUAAGAAGCACCGGCUAACUACGUGCCAGCCGCCGCGGUAAAAC
rnacentral:rRNA from 1 species